CCCGCGUCUGAUUAGCUAGUUGGCGGGGUAACGGCCCACCAAGGCAGCGAUCAGUAGCCGGCCUGAGAGGGUGGACGGCCACAUUGGGACUGAGACACGGCCCAAACUCCUACGGGAGGCAGCAGUGGGGGAUAUUGCACAAUGGGGGGAACCCUGAUGCAGCGACGCCGCGUGAAGGAAGAAGUAUCUCGGUAUGUAAACUUCUAUCAGCAGGGAAGAAAAUGACGGUACCUGACUAAGAAGCCCCGGCUAACUACGUGCCAGCAGCCGCGGUAAUACGUAGGGGGCAAGCGUUAUCCGGAUUUACUGGGUGUAAAGGGAGCGUAGGCGGCAGUGCAAGUCAGAAGUGAAAGCCCGGGGCUCAACUCCGGGACUGCAUUUGAAACUGUACAGCUUGAUUGCAGGAGAGGCAAGUGGAAUCCCUAGUGUAGCGGUGAAAUGCGUAGAUAUUAGGAGGAACACCAGUGGCGAAGGCGGCUUGCUGGACUGUAAAUGACGCUGAGGCUCGAAAGCGUGGGGAGCAAACAGGAUUAGAUACCCUGGUAGUCCACGCCGUAAACGA
rnacentral:rRNA from 1 species